AGAAAGAAUCUUAUUAUGUAUAAAUCUGAUGACAAUGCAGUGCUUUAAUUGUACUUAAAAAUUUCUCAUAAGGACAUCUUCAUUAACAAAAUGCGAAGAAAUGAAAUUUGAUCCCAUUUCUACUAACACUGAGUAUCUAAGCAUAGAACAAAACAUGCAGGGUCAAACUUACAGGGUGUGCUCAUUGACACCUCAAUAGCAUCAACCAGAAAAUCCAUUUAGAAAAAAUUGCAUGUCUGUAAAAUCUUUGACAACCAAUUCACUCCCGGUACAGCUCAUAUGUUAUUGUACUUUUAUUCUUGCAAACAAGUGAACCCCUAAUCAAUAACUGCAAAAAAUCCAAGCAACAAAGUAUAAAUAGACAAAAUUGAUAUCCUAGUUCAAAGCAGUAGCAGUUGACUUACACAAUUUUAGAUUGGUAAUAGAUAAUUUUUAUAAUAUGACAUCUCUAAAACAUAAAACCUAGAUAAACUUCAAUCAGCUUUUACCCUGUAAUGAAUCCAUGUAAGAUUUGUAUUCUGUUCAAUAAACUAUAUGCUGAUGUGAUGCAUAUGCAAUUAAGAAACAACUUAUUUAUUGCUCAGCACUCAGCAGAAUCAAAGUAUCAUCUUAGAUAAACUACUUUAGAUUUCAUAGCUGAUAAAUCAUUUAUGUCAAACUAAUUCAAGAUUCAAGUCAUAAAUAAAAAAAUGGCUAGCUACAAAAAGCUUAAGGCCAAAUUGAGAAUAUUUGUGCUACAAUGCUCUUCAAAAAAGAUACGUUCAAGGAAUCGUAUCAAGUUCAUUCAAUUUUGUUAUGGGUAGAGAUAUGAUUUGUUUGGAUUGUAAGAUACUAAUAACCAUGCCCACAACUCUAUAUACAUCAAUAUCAUAAAAAACUUAAAAAGAAUACCCGAUUCAGCAUUGAUAUUAAGACAUGCAUUUUUAGCAAACUUCCAACAUCGUGAACAUACCUAAUAAGCUGCUUUCCACUUUGCUAUAAGUUCUUCAUACACAAAUUCUUUUCUUUCUUUGACAAGGCUCUGUCUCAGCUUUGACAAUGUAGAAGAAGUUAACUUGAUUCCUCUUCCAAUAAUAUGCUCGGCAUACUUAACUGCUUCAAGGACCCUAUC
rnacentral:lncRNA from 1 species